rnacentral:lncRNA from 1 species
GGCCUUGUUUAGUUGGCAAAAUUUUAGGUUUUUGGCUACUGUAGCACUUUCGUUUUUAUUUGACAAACAUUGUCCAAUUACGGAGUAACUAGGCUCAAAAGAUUCAUCUCAUAAAUUUCAGGUAAACUGUGUAAUUAGUUUUUAUUUUUAUUUUUAUUUAAUGCUCCAUGCAUGCGACCAAAGAUUCGAUGUGACGGGGAAUCUUGAAAAUUUUUGCGAACUAAACAAGGCCUAAAUAAAGCUAAGGGACCUCACUCUUACGUAGAGCGGGCACGGAUUUUGACCAUUGAACCAUAUCCAUGUGUGUAACUAUUCCUUCACAAAGCAUGUUAUUGUAACUAAUGAUACUAUAAAAUUAGCAAUACAAUUUUUAAAUUACAAGGUCAAACACAUACAUAAGCAUACUCGCUCUCACAUUAGACCAUUGAAAGGACUGAAUGCCCAAGAGGAUUGAAUUGAGCUCUAAAAAGUCUGACUGCAGCAAUCUUAACCUACGCAAUUCUACUCACCCACUUGCAUGGUUAGCUUCUUGAACUAAAAAGAUCACACUAAUAACCUCGUUAAUAGUACGAUCAAAGAUAUAAACAAAGACAUAUACACACUACUAAGCCCCAUGCUUGCAGUUCACCUUAUAGUGUUCUUAACCUCUGUGAAUAUCCUUAUAUUCAUAUUAAAAUUUAUCAUCAUUGCCAAGAAUAUAUCAUGUGUCAGUAUGACCGAUCCAAAGUGAAUAUUCCUGCAAAACACAUCUUGUUAAGGCAAAACUGCUAAAGUAGAGAAUGUAUAAAAAAUUGUAGACCAAGCCACACAAAGAAAUACUCAAGACUUCGCCCCUCAAACACCCAUAUUUUUCAAAAGAAAAGAGGGAUGUGUAUCCCUCAUGUGCCUGAAUUUUUUUUCAGGCGAUCGAUCUCAGCGAUUGGAUCUUGAUCCAAUGCCCCAGCCGACAGCGUCUAUUCAUCUUUUUCCUUGCAUCAUCGUCUUCCAUCCCAUCUCCUUCACCCUGUUCUCGGACAACCCUACCUCCUGCCUGCCUCCUCCAGCCUAGGCGGCGUCCCUGCCGCCAAAUCACCGGCCGCUGCCUACCUCCUCCAGUUUUGAAACGCUCCCGCCUCCUGUCCACUGAGGUUGCUGGUCGUUGGCCCCUACCGCCGAGGCUUCGGGUCGCUGCCGCCUACCACCGAGGCUUCCGGUAACUGCCCCCUUCCGCGCUAAAUACAAGGAAAACACUGAAGUUCGCCACCGUCACCCUUUCCCUAACUCUUGCCAUCCGGUUGCCCAGCCCCGUCCGUUCAGCGGCCAACCAACCACCACCGUCGUGUCUACCUGCCUUCCAAACCCUUCCUUCCAAACACAAGGAAGAAGAAGUCGUCCCUUGAGAUUUCCUGCCUCUAUGUGUCCACACACAUAGUUUUUUAUUAUUACAUACAAAAUAUUUGUUUCCGCUAGAAUUUCUCUUUCUUCAAUCUAAACAUUUCACAUCUAAUAGAUUACCACCCCUUUAACGUUAUUUAUUUCUUUACUAUAGAAAAAGAUAUCUAGAACAGUUUUUUUUUUGAAUUCAGAAGUCUAGAACAGUUUUUUUUUGUUUUGACUACUAGAGUAUUUUUUGAACAAUGAAACUCUAACAGAAAUCGCUUCUCCCUUUUAUUAAAGGAAAGUUACAAAAAUCACGUGGGCCCAGGGCACAAAUUUUUCAAACGGAUGUCAGCAUUGAGCAGAGCGGUUGGUUAUAUAUACGUCCAAUUCCCUA